rnacentral:ncRNA from 2 species
GAUUUAUAUCAUACAAAAGCUCGUAUAAUAUCGGUAAUGUGGUCCGAAAGUUUCUACCUGCUAGCCAUAAAAUAGCAGACUACGAGGUAAUGUGUUUUGAAA